rnacentral:rRNA from 1 species
UAGGUCCCAGUUCAGAUUGCAGGCUGCAACCCGCCUGCAUGAAGUCGGAAUUGCUAGUAAUCGCGGAUCAGCAUGCCGCGGUGAAUACGUUCCCGGGCCUUGUACACACCGCCCGUCACACCAUGGGAGCCGGUAAUACCCGAAGUCAGUAGUCCAACCACGUGAGGACGCUGCCGAAGGUAGGAUUGGCGACUGGGGUGAAGUCGUAACAAGGUACC